UACAGAGGUCUCAAGCGUUGUUCGGAUUCAUUGGGCGUAAAGGGUGCGUAGGCGGCGCGGUAAGUCGGGUGUGAAAUUUCGAGGCUUAACUUCGAAACUGCAUUCGAUACUGCCGUGCUUGAGGACUGGAGAGGAGACUGGAAUUCCUGGUGUAGCGGUGGAAUGCGCAGAUAUCAGGAGGAACACCGAUGGCGAAGGCAGCUCGCUGGGACGGUACUGACGCUGAGGCGCGAAAGCGUGGGGAGCAAACAGG
rnacentral:rRNA from 1 species